GACCAGACUCCUACGGGAGGCAGCGGUGGGGAAUAUUGCACAAUGGGGGAAACCCUGAUGCAGCAACGCCGCGUGGGUGAAGGAGCGUUUCGGCGCGUAAAGCCCUGUCAGCGGGGAAGAAGAAAGACGGUACCCGACCAAGAAGCCCCGGCUAACUACGUGCCAGCAGCCGCGGUAAUACGUAGGGGGCAAGCGUUAUCCGGAUUUACUGGGUGUAAAGGGAGCGCAGACGGCAGUGCAAGUCUGGAGUGAAAGCCCGGGGCCCAACCCCGGAACUGCUCUGGAAACUGUGCGGCUAGAGUGCUGGAGGGGCAGGCGGAAUUCCUAGUGUAGCGGUGAAAUGCGUAGAUAUUAGGAGGAACGCCAGUGGCGAAGGCGGCCUGCUGGACAGUAACUGACGUUGAGGCUCGAAAGCGUGGGGAGCAAACAGGAUUAGAUACCCCUGUAU
rnacentral:rRNA from 1 species